rnacentral:rRNA from 1 species
GCAAGUCGAACGCAUUUAGUUGCGUGGCGAACGAGGUAGUAACACGUAGGAUUACCUGCCCCAAAGUCAAGGAUAACCUGGAGAAAUCCAGAAUAAUACUUGAUAGUCUCUUCGGAGUAAAGUUUUAACGCUUUGGGAUGGGCCUGCGGGAUAUCAGCUUGUUGGUAGGGUAAUGGCCUACCAAGGCGACGACGUCUAGGGGACCUGAGAGGGUGAGC